CAGCGGAAAGUAGCUUGCUACUUUGCCGGCGAGCGGCGGACGGGUGAGUAAUGUCUGGGGAUCUGCCUGAUGGAGGGAU
rnacentral:rRNA from 1 species